GGGGGGGGGGGGGGGGGGGCGGGGCGGGGGGGGGGCGGGCGGGGGGGGCGGUUCGGGGGGGGGCGCGGGGCGGGCGGGUGAGUAGCGCGUGGGGGACCUGCCCACGACGUUGGGGUGACUCUAGGCACCUGGUGCUCAUACUGGAUAUGUGCGCCUGCCGCCUGGGGUGGCUUGUGCAGCUCCGGCGGUGGUGGCUGGACUCGCGGCCGAUCAGCUUGUUUGUGGGGUCGUGGCCUACCCAGGCGGCGACGGGUAGCCGGCCUGAGAGGGUGACCGGCCACAUUGGGACUGAGAUACGGCCCAGACUCCUACGGGAGGCAGCAGUGGGGAAUAUUGCACAAUGGGCGCAAGCCUGAUGCAGCAACGCCGCGUGCGGGAUGACGGCCUUCGGGUUGUAAACCGCGUUCAGCAGGGACGAAGCUUUUUGUGACGGUACCUGCAGAAGAAGCACCGGCUAACUACGUG
rnacentral:rRNA from 1 species